UAUGAAUUAUAAAAAUAAUAAAAUAAGUAAGCAACUUACAGAAGAAUAAUAAAUAAAUAUUUAUAAAUAUUUAUAAAUUUAAUAAAUAUAUUUAGAUUAAUAAAUACAUUAAUAAAUAAUAAACAAAAAAAAUAAAUGAAAUAAAAAAAAGUUUCAUUUCAAAAAAGGAAUUUAUAUAGAACUAGUUCAUCAAAAACGAAAUUUUAACAAACUUCAUCUUUCUUCGAUAAUUUAUGUGUAAUGCGAUCUUUUCGCAAAAAAAUAACAGUGAGGAACCAAUAAAAAAGGAAAAGAGAUACGACUAUCAUAAAUAUUACGUCUGCUUUCUAAAUCAAUCGCCUCUCUUAAAAACUAGCUUUACCAUAUCUCUAAAUCUGAUGUCGAGAUAUCGAUGACAAGUGGACAUGUCGCGACGCGAUACAAGGUUCGAUUUCGCGCUGGUCAUUCAUGACUCCACGUGAAAUUAAGAUCGAUUUCACAUCUAACGAGCGUCGGCCUGUGGCCUGGGUGUCGCGAAACAAAUAAGAAGGGCGGGGAAAGAUGAGAUUGAGCCGGUUGGUCGUUCAACCGAGCCAGUUACAACAGACGGCGCCCAUGAUCUGGUCAGUUUGGCGAAGAACGUGAGAGUAAGUCGCUCCUGGAACGAAAAGAGGAACAGAGAGGGCUGAAUGAAGAACGAGUAAAAAAAUAUUGUGACGACGUAGUGAGACACGUGUGCAAGACAAGAACGAAGACAGGAUUGGAAGAGAGGAAGAAAAAAAAACGUUAUGACGGUAAAGAGGUUAAGGUGUGAAAGAGAUGAGAACAUAUGUGAUUGAAAAAGGCGAACGAGUGGAAGAGGAACGGGGAUAGUAUGACUUGUUGGGAAACAACUAAAGAGGGAGGAAGCGAAUAUGUAUGUGAGUACGUGGGACGGAUAAUACUUCCUUGGCGCGUGUAAUGUACUCGUCCGACGGCGCCGGCGCCUGCAUAUAUUGCUCUUUCUAUCUUUUUCUCCGUCUCGAAUAUGUUUACGUGACGUGACACAGAUUCCACAGAGACGCCUCCUGAAAAAUCUACUAUAUGAUUAUGUCUGGUGUAUGCAAAAAUUUUUGGGACGUGUCUAGAACGAGGUUAUAGUUGUUAUGACGUAUGACAUUGCGUAGCUCUUCUAAAUGUUGUCGGUUUGGAAACAAACAAAUAUUAUUAAUCAUCGAUUUUCAGAUGAAAGAUUAUUAUUGCGACAUAUGAAAGUACUUGAUAUAUAUAUUUGAAUCGUUUAGUCAAAUUACAUAAUAAAAGACGAGAAUGAUAAAUUUCAAUAUUAUUUUCCUAUCGAUACUAAUUAUGUUAAUUAUUAUUAAUUGACUGUUAUAAUUAUAAUAUUUUUAUAGUAAGUUACAUUGUUAUAUAAGUUUCUAUUAUAUUCAAAAAAUUAAAUAUUAUAUGCGAAAUUAAUAAAAUAAAAAGCAUAUAUUAAUAUAAUGUAAUUUAUAGAUAUUUAUUAUAUAUUUAAUUGUUAGUUUACAUGGCAAGUCGUGAUUUAUGUAAAUAUAUAUUAUGUAUAUUGUAAAUAUAAUUAUGUAAAUAUAUAGCAAUGUUAACGAAUGUUAGCAAUGUUAACAAUGUUAUGGAAAAUAGCAUUUAUCUUCGAUCUAAAGAAAAAAAAAAACUAGAACGAUAUAAUAUCAAAUUUAUUCAUUUAAAUUUUUCUUAUUCAAUUAUAAUACAUUUAUUAUUAUUUUUAUUGAUUACUUAUCGAUAAUGGAUCUUGACAUCGUAAAUAAAAUAUUAUCAACGAGCAAAUUUUUCUAUUUAUAUAUUAGAAUAUUAUAUAUAUAUUCUAUUAUGUAUAUAUUAUAGUACAUAUCUUUUACAUGUCGCUAUUUUAAAAAAUGUCAAAUUUCACAAUAUAAUGAGAUAAAUAACGAAUAUUUACCAUUGGUAUUCAUCAGCUAUACUGUUAAUCUGAAUGAUCAAAAAAGGGUGAGGAAUAUUUUCAAAAAUCGACACGUAAUGCAUUGUGCCUUGGCCGAGACAGGUGUCUCGAUUGCGGCGCCGGAAGACCAUAAACUGUUUUUCGGACAAGAUUUCUACCGAAAUCCUGAUACGGAAUGGCAAGCAUUAUUUACACCUCGUUGUAAAAUUACAUAUACACUUAUGUUCUUUCAUGCUGUCUACGCCUGAAUGUAUUCAGGUUCAUUUAAAUUACAGAAGGUAAUUCGCAUCUCUCUUUUUCUCUCUUCCAUACUUUCUUUCUUUAUGGAAGUAUAAUAAAAAAUUUCCGUACAUGAAUCAAAAGCAUACUCAAGUAUUCGAAUUAUGGAAUAAUGAGAUAAUUGAAGAAAUUGCAGAAAUGAUGGUGUACAUAUAACGAAAUGCUUUAAUACAUGCAUCAAGAAAAUCUGGCAAAUGAAAAGAAUUUUUAAGAAAAGAUACAUAAAGGAUUCAAACAUAUAUCUCCAAGGAUUAUUAUAUUUAUAAUAACAUCUAUUACUAAAUAAGAGGCAUUCAGUUUAAAUAAUAUAAGAAAAUUCUUUUGUUGGAUAUAUAUACGAAACCAUAUACGAGUUGAUAUGAAUGUGUAUGUAUGAAACAAAAAUAUUGGCGAUUGGCGAUAUCGCUUUUGAGUGACAUACUAAAAACACUAUACAUACUAGACUGAUUCGAUUAUUAAAAAGAUUAUAUUGGAGUAUUCAACUGAAAGGUAUUUGGAAACAAGAAGCUUUAUUAUAUUUCAUGCGAUCGAACGUGCUUCCGCACUUGACAUCCGGAUUAUCCUUAAUUCAUGAAGAAAAGAAAGCGAUGAAGGUAGACCAGGUGAAACUACCGACGCUUAUCUUAUUGAUGGUAACUUUAUUCAUCGUAUCUGUGGAGUUUGGGGCUCAGUUUUUCGUAGAAUCGGCUAUUGUCUCGGAGAUUAAUGGUCCCGCGCGAAACCAUUCGUCCUGCAAACACGAAGAUCCGAAAAAUUUCGCUUCUUUUGUGGCAUGUUCCUUUUACCUUGCGAUGCCAUGGCAAAGAGGACACGGGCCAAUUUCGAUGUUCAUUCAAGAAAUUGAACCUUCUAAAAGUUUUGUUUUCAAGAAAGAUUUAUUAAUUAUUGAACAAAAUUUAUAUUUUAUUCUGUUAUGGGUGGUUAUGUUGAUGGAAGUAUCAUGGAAGAUAAUAGAAGAUGAUGAAAGACGAUAAAAUAAAAAUGAUGAAGAAAUUAUAAUAAGUAGAUUUUAUAUUGUUUGAAUAUCUCUGAAAAGUAUUAUCAUACUGUUUUUCUACUGACAAUGAUUGAUAUAUUAUAAUGUUUUUCUACUAAUGAUUACUGACGUUAAUAGAAUUAUUUUUAGUAGUAGAAUUUAUGAAAAUAAUACAGGAAAAAAUGUUUAAUUUUUUCACAAAAUAAAAAGAGAUUUGAAAAAAUUGUCAAUAAACAGAUAAUAGUCAAAGUCUUAUAUUAUAGAUUUCUAUUUCUGUUUAUCAUUAUAAUUUAUUUUAUUUUAAACUAAAUAACAUUUCUUACGUAAAAAUAUUA